AAUUCUCAACUUCACCAGUUUUCUGUGUGAGGCUUGGAUGUGGGGGUUUUUGCAGGCUGCCUUGCGCGGUCUGCUCCCCUGAAAUGCAUUAGCGAGUUCACUGAGCUCCAUCUAUUGGUGUGAUAAUUAUCUACGCCGUGGAUUGGACUUAGACUUGCGUCUAACCGUCAGAAAGGACAACUUUAUGAAA
rnacentral:misc_RNA from 1 species